rnacentral:tRNA from 5 species
GGUCCCGUGGCUCAAUGGAUAGAGCGUCGGAAUUCGACUCCGAAGGUUGCAGGUUCGAGCCCUGCCGGGAUCGCCA